rnacentral:tRNA from 1 species
GAGUUUUUAUCUUAAAAUUAAAGUGUUUGUGUUGCACACAAAAGAUAAAUAGUAAUUUAAAACUUA